GAGGGUGUGGCUCAGUGGCAAAGCACGUGCUUAGCAUGCACGAAGUCCUGGGUACAAUCCCCAGUCCCUCCA
rfam:Camelus ferus unplaced genomic scaffold scaffold692, whole genome shotgun sequence.